rnacentral:rRNA from 1 species
CACGUAGGGUGCGAGCGUUGUCCGGAAUUAUUGGGCGUAAAGAGCUCGUAGGCGGUGUGUCGCGUCGGUCGUGAAAACCUGCAGCUUAACUGUGGGCUUGCGGUCGAUACGGGCAUCACUGGAGUUCGGCAGGGGAGACUGGAAUUCCUGGUGUAGCGGUGAAAUGCGCAGAUAUCAGGAGGAACACCCGGUGGGCGAAGGCGGGGUCUCUGGGCAGUAAACUGACGC